GAAAGUGAAGGUGAUCUGGCUGGGCCCUGGUCAGUAGCAUUGAUUCAGGGUUGAUUCAGUUGAUCUGACUGAGCAGGUGAGUUCCCCUUUCUUCCCUCAUUCCUCUUGAGGCCUUCAUAAUUGGGCAAAGAAAGUGACUUUCCUGGGUAGAUGAAGAUUGUUCUUAAGGUAAGAAU
rfam:Gorilla gorilla gorilla genomic chromosome, chr2A, whole genome shotgun sequence